AUACGGAGGGGGCAAGCGUUGUUCGGAUUUACUGGGCGUAAAGCGCACGUAGGCGGCAAAGUAAGUCAAAGGUGAAAGCCCUCGGCUCAACCGAGGAACUGCCUUUGAAACUGCUUUGCUUGAGUUCGGGAGGGGGGAGCGGAAUACCCAAUGGAGCGGUGAAAUGCGUAGAUAUUGGGUAGAACACCGGUGGCGAAGGCGGCUCCCUGGACCGAUACUGACGCUGAGGUGCGAAAGCGUGGGUAGCAAACAGGAUUAGAAACCCCAGUAGUCC
rnacentral:rRNA from 1 species